rnacentral:rRNA from 1 species
UACGUAGGUGGCGAGCGUUGUCCGGAUUUAUUGGGCGUAAAGAGCUCGUAGGCGGCUCGUCGCGUCGACCGUGAAAACCCGCGGCUUAACUGUGGGCUUGCGGUCGAUACGGGCAGACUAGAGUUCGGUAGGGGAGUCUGGAAUUCCUGGUGUAGCGGUGAAAUGCGCAGAUAUCAGGAGGAACACCGGUGGCGAAGGCGGGACUCUGGGCCGAUACUGACGCUGAGGAGCGAAAGCGUGGGGAGCAAACAGG